rnacentral:rRNA from 1 species
UCUGGCGUCUUUGGCGUCCGAGUUGUAAUUUGAAGAAGGUAUCUUUGGGCCCGGCUCUUGUCUAUGUUCCUUGGAACAGGACGUCACAGAGGGUGAGAAUCCCGUGCGAUGAGAUGACCCGGGUCUGUGUAAAGUUCCUUCGACGAGUCGAGUUGUUUGGGAAUGCAGCUCUAAGUGGGUGGUAAAUUCCAUCUAAAGCUAAAUAUUGGCGAGAGACCGAUAGCGAACAAGUACAGUGAUGGAAAGAUGAAAAGAACUUUGAAAAGAGAGUGAAAAAGUACGUGAAAUUGUUGAAAGGGAAGGGCUUGAGAUCAGACUUGGUAUUUUGCAUGCUGCUCUCUCGGGGGCGGCCGCUGCGGUUUACCGGGCCAGCAUCGGUUUGGAGCGGCAGGAUAAUGGCGGAGGAAUGUGGCACGGCUUCUGCUGUGUGUUAUAGCCUCUGACGAUACUGCCAGCCUAGACCGAGGACUGCGGUUUUUACCUAGGAUGUUGGCAUAAUGAUCUUAAGUCGCCCGUCUUGA